CAGUAGCCGCGGGAAUACGUAGGUGGCAAGCGUUGUCCGGAAUUAUUGGGCGUAAAGGGCUCGCAGGCGGUUUCUUAAGUCUGAUGUGAAAGCCCCCGGCUCAACCGGGGAGGGUCAUUGGAAACUGGGAAACUUGAGUGCAGAAGAGGAGAGUGGGAUUCCACGUGUAGCGGUGAAAUGCAUAGAGAUGUGGAGGAACACCUGUGGCGAAGGCGACUCUCUGGUCUGUAACUGACGCUGAGGAGCGAAAGCGUGGGGAGCGAACAGGAUUAGAUACCCCAGUAGUCCCUGUCUCUUAUAC
rnacentral:rRNA from 1 species